UGUUCCCAUACCGAACACAGCAGUUAAGCCCUCCAGCGUCGAUGGUACUUGGACCGCAGGGUCCUGGGAGAGUAGAACAUUGCCAGGC
rnacentral:rRNA from 1 species